rnacentral:rRNA from 1 species
UAACAAGGAUUCCCCUAGUAACUGCGAGUGAAGAGGGAAAAGCUCAAAUUUAAAAUCUGGCGGCCUUAGGUUGUCCGAGUUGUAAUCUAGAGAAGUGUCAUCCGCGCCGGACCGUGUACAAGUCUCCUGGAACGGAGCGUCAUAGAGGGUGAGAAUCCCGUCUUCGACACGGACUACCGGGGCUUUGUGAUGCGCUCUCAAAGAGUCGAGUUGUUUGGGAAUGCAGCUCAAAAUGGGUGGUAAAUUCCAUCUAAAGCUAAAUAUUGGCGAGAGACCGAUAGCGAACAAGUACCGUGAGGGAAAGAUGAAAAGAACUUUGGAAAGAGAGUUAAACAGUACGUGAAAUUGCUGAAAGGGAAACGCUUGAAGUCAGUCGCGUUGGUCGAGAAUCAGCCUUGCUUUUGCAUGGCUUAUUUCGCGGCUCAACGGGUCAGCAUCAAUUUUGAUCACUGGAUAAAGAUGAGAGGAAUGUGGCAUCUUCGGAUGKGUUAUAGCCUUUUGUUGCAUACAGUGGUUGGUAUUGAGGAA